rnacentral:rRNA from 1 species
UACGUAGGGUCCGAGCGUUGUCCGGAAUUAUUGGGCGUAAAGAGCUCGUAGGCGGUUUGUCGCGUCUGCUGUGAAAACUCGGGGCUUAACUCCGGGCCUGCAGUGGGUACGGGCAGACUAGAGUGCGGUAGGGGAGACUGGAAUUCCUGGUGUAGCGGUGAAAUGCGCAGAUAUCAGGAAGAACACCAAUGGCGAAAGCAGCUCUCUGGGACGGUACUGACGCUGAGACGCGAAAGCGUGGGGAGCGAACAGG